rnacentral:rRNA from 1 species
UCGAGGAUCUUUCGCAAUGGGCGCAAGCCUGACGAAGCGACGCCGUGUGAGUGAAGAAGGCCUUCGGGUUGUAAAGCUCUUUCGCUAGGGACCAAGAGUUUGGGAUGAAUAGUUCUGAAUUUUGAGAGUACCUGGUAAAGAAGCACCGGCUAACUCCGUGCCAGCAGCUGCGGUAAUACGGAGAGUGCAAGCAUUAAUCGGAUUUACUGGGCGUAAAGGGCGCGUAGGCGGUUUUUUAAGUUAGAUGUGAAAUUCCCGGGCUCAACCUGGGAGCUGCAUUUAAGACUGAAGAGCUAGAGGGUAAAUAGGGAAAGCGGAAUUUCAGGUGUAGCGGUGAAAUGCGUAGAUAUCUGAAGGAACACCGGUGGUGAAGACGGCUUUCUGAUUUACAACUGACGCUGAGGCGCGAAAGUAUGGGUAGCAAACAGGAUUAGAUACCCCGGUAGUCC